GGGAGAUGUCGAGCUGGGCCGUAUCUCAAUAGUCUCCUCAAUUCCUUGUGUCCUUGAAGAUCUUUGGCUGGGUUGCAUUUCACUUGUCUUUCAUCAAUUCCUUGUAUCCUUUCUCCAGCUUCCUUUUAAAAAGGGAUAGUGUAAAGCGUUUCCUCUCCUUGUUUCCUUUCCUCAUGUGCUCUACUUGCUUGACCCUGAUGUUUUGAGAAGGGAACAUAAUCACUCAGGAAAAGGCUGGUCUGGGAUUGUAUACAAGAGACACGGAAACUCAAGAAACCAUGAUUACCAUUUUUCUGCUCAUCAAAUGUUAUUAGUCACAUGCGCCAAAUACAACAGGUGCAGUAGACCUUACCGUGAAAUGUUUACUCACGAGCCCAUAACCAACAAUACAGUUGAAGAAAAUAGAGUUCAUGGAAACAAUGCUACAGGCUCUGGUCUACGCUACACUUUCACUAUGGACACACAGUUCAGAGGUCACUGGGAUGUGUGUGACAUCCAUGUGGGAUCAAACUGGGCUUCACAAAAAAAAAUGGAGUGUACAGCCAAACAGUCAUCAAGGAAAUGAAUGAUGGAUGAACCAACCGCCAACUAACUGUAUGUGUACAUUUCACGGGUCGUUCCACAAAUUCAGUGCCUUUUUGAGAAGUGUAACUUGGUUUAAAAAAAAAAAAAGGUUUGAUUUCACCUCAUUUUAAUAUUCUGUCAUAAAGAGCGCAUAUUCAACUUCAUGACAUGUUUUCCCAUUUCAAGAGUACCACAGUAGGUGCCUAUUCAAUGCCAAAUAAAGUAACAGGGUUGAUGAUCUCAUCGUAAAUCUGCCGUAAAUCCCAUUGUGACGGGAGAAGGAAAGCUCAUGUGCAACAGGGAGUGGCAAUUUAAAUGCAAGAAUCACCAAAAAUGUUUAAUUGUUAAAACAUUUCUAGCCUGUCCGUCUAUGGGUAAAAGGCUAUGGGUAAAAGGGUUGACUUGUAAUGCUCGACACGCUCAGUUUUCCAACACAAAACGCCAGAAAAUGGCCAUAAAGAGUAAAACCAGCUUACAUGAUUUGAUUAUUAGAUGUUCAAUGUCUCGAAUUUUUUUUUUUUUUAAUGAAAAAUGUUGCCCUAUUAAAAUGAGACUUCAGUUCACGCAACAGGGUUCACUUUAAAAUGAGGGACAGGUCAUUUAAUCCCUAAAUAAUCUUUAGAAAUGACUUUUUGUCAAAGUAACAAAAUAACUAGGGCUUUACAAUGAUGGUGAAAACAUGGGGGACGUUUUUGGGGUUAAGUCGGUUAAAAUCUUCCUAGAAGAAGUCGCAGAGGGUGCAAGGGAGGACAUGUCAAAUGCUGAAUUAUGUCACUUUAGCAAGUCUUAUUCAUAUAAAAAAAAAUCGGAUUGAUUGAAUUUUCCAUGUGGUCUAUAUUAAAGGGCGCUUCAUUUAAUAUAACAGGCUUUUUCUCUUUUUUUCUACUUAAAAUAUCAAAGGAAUACAAAAGGACCUUUUUCGUGGAAUGACCCUCCAUAUGAACAUACAGCAGUGUGCCAAAACACUACAGAAGAAGGAACCUUGGUCUCUUUUAAGUCCCAAAUAGCACCUUAUUCCCUUUAAUAGUGCACUACAUUUAACCAGAACCAUAUGGGUCCUGGUCAAAAAGGAGUGCACUACAAAGGGUACCAUUUAGGAUGAAAUCUAGGACUUUCCUUUUAGGUAAUUGUACUGUAUGAUAUGUAAAUGGGCACAACUAUUCAUGCAACACUGAUGAUUUAUACCAAAUUGAGACAACUGUGAACUUCUGUUACUGUAUCAUACUGAAUCCUUCGCCCAAGUACUAGUAUUUGUGUUUUAACGGUGUGGUUAAUGAAUUAAACUGUAAAAAUGAAAAUAUAUCGACCUAAGCUCAUGCAAAUAAUGUGAUAUGUGUACUUUUCAUCAUUGUGAAUAAAUUGUAUCAAUAACUUUUAAAUGCGACCAAAGACGACUAGCAGUGCUAUUUGAUACAGUACCAAAAAAACCCUCAUUAAAUAAAUCUGAAAAUGUAUUCACUCACUGCUGUUAUUCUCUCAGGGUAAGACCCACUGGGCAAACACUGGUUGAAUCAAUGUUGUUACCACGUCCUUUCAAUUAAAUGACUUUGAACCAACGCGCAAUAGACGUUGAAUUGACGUCUGUACUCAGUGGGGAGCGUCUGCUAAAUGACUAAAAUGUAAAUAAAGCUUCGUGCCAAAUGGCACCCUAUUCCCUAUAUAGUGCACUACUUUAGACCAGAGCCCUAUGGCACCCUAUUCCCUAUAUGGUGCACUACUUUAGACCAGAGCCCUAUGGCACCCUAUUCCCUAUAUGGUGCA
rnacentral:lncRNA from 1 species